rnacentral:rRNA from 1 species
CGGGAAAAGCUCAAAUUUAAAAUCUGGUGGCCGAAAGGUUGCCCGAGUUGUAAUUUGCAGAGGAUGCUUUUGACAAGGUGCCUUCCGAGUUCCCUGGAACGGGACGCCAUAGAGGGUGAGAGCCCCGUCUGGUCGGAUACCGCGUCUCUGUAAAGCUCCUUCGAC